rnacentral:rRNA from 1 species
AGAGUUUGAUCCUGGCUCAGGAUAAACGCUAGCGGCAGGCCUAACACAUGCAAGUCGAGGGGCAGCGGAAGAAGUAGCUUGCUACUUCUGCCGGCGACCGGCGCACGGGUGCGUAACGCGUAUGCAACCUACCUUUAACAGGGGGAUAAUCCGAAGAAAUUUGGUCUAAUACCCCAUAAUAUUUCAGAAGGCAUCUUUUGAGGUUGAAAACUCCGGUGGUUAAAGAUGGGCAUGCGUUGUAUUAGCUAGAUGGUGAGGUAACGGCUCACCAUUGCGAUGAUACAUAGGGGGACUGAGAGGUUUUCCCCCCACACUGGUACUGAGACACGGACCAGACUCCUACGGGAGGCAGCAGUGAGGAAUAUUGGUCAAUGGACGCAAGUCUGAACCAGCCAUGCCGCGUGCAGGAUGAAGGUGCUAUGCAUUGUAAACUGCUUUUGUACGAGGGUAAAUGCAGGUACGUGUACCUGUUUGAAAGUAUCGUACGAAUAAGGGUCGGCUAACUCCGUGCCAGCAGCCGCGGUAAUACGGAGGACCCGAGCGUUAUCCGGAUUUAUUGGGUUUAAAGGGUGCGUAGGCGGAUUAGUAAGUUAGAGGUGAAAGCUCGAUGCUCAACAUCGAAAUUGCCUCUGAUACUGUUAGUCUAGAGUAUAGUUGCGGAAGGCGGAAUGUGUGGUGUAGCGGUGAAAUGCUUAGAUAUCACACAGAACACCGAUUGCGAAGGCAGCUUUCCAAGCUAUUACUGACGCUGAUGCACGAAAGCGUGGGGAGCGAACAGGAUUAGAUACCCUGGUAGUCCACGCCGUAAACGAUGAUAACUCGUUGCAGGCGAUACACAGUCUGUGACUUAGCGAAAGCGUUAAGUUAUCCACCUGGGGAGUACGUUCGCAAGAAUGAAACUCAAAGGAAUUGACGGGGGCCCGCACAAGCGGAGGAACAUGUGGUUUAAUUCGAUGAUACGCGAGGAACCUUACCCGGGCUUGAAA